AUAAGACUUUAAUUGAGUGCUAAGAGAAUGGAUUUUCAAAAAAAUUCUUUUUUAAGUUUAAAAAUUAAAGUUAUUUUUAUUUGUGAAGAAACAAUAAUAAAAAUUAAAGACAAGAAGACCCUAUGAAUUUUUAUAAACUUUAAUAUUUAAUUAAAUAUUAAAGUUUAUUUAAUUGGGGCGAUUGAGAAAGAUAAAAAACUUUUUUUUUAUUUAAAGAGAUCCAUUAUUAAUGAUUUUAUGUAAAAAAUACUCUAGGGAUAACAGCGUAAUAAUUUUAGAUAGAUCUUAUAGAAAAAAUAGUUUGCGACCUCGAUGUUGGAUUAGGAUACUUGUUUAAUGAAGAAGUUAAAUAAAGAAG
rnacentral:rRNA from 1 species